GAUGAACGCUAGCGACAGGCCUAACACAUGCAAGUCGAGGGGCAGCACGAGGUAGCAAUACUAGGGUGGCGACCGGCGGACGGGUGAGUAACACGUAUGCAACCUGCCCGUAAUCGGGGGAUAACCCGGAGAAAUUCGGACUAACACUCCAUGUAUCUGUAUUAUUGCAUGAUAAAACAGAAAAACGCAAGGACUACGGAUGGGCAUGCGGAUGAUUAGCUGGUUGGCGGGGUAACGGCCCACCAAGGCGACGAUCAUUAGGGGUUCUGAGAGGAAGGUCCCCCACAUUGGAACUGAGAAACGGUCCAAACUCCUACGGGAGGCAGCAGUGAGGAAUAUUGGUCAAUGGGCGAGAGCCUGAACCAGCCAAGUCGCGUGAAGGAAGAAGGUCUUAUGGAUUGUAAACUUCUUUAGCAGGGGAAUAAAGGUUAUUACGAGCUAAUAAUUUGCAGGUACUCUGCGAAAAAGGAUCGGCUAACUCCGUG
rnacentral:rRNA from 1 species